rnacentral:lncRNA from 1 species
CUCAAAAUGCGUUUUUAUUGGCUUGAAAAGGAUAACCCAACAGCAGCGUGGGGUGAAGGGGUCCUCGGCCUUGUCUUCACAGAGCUCCGCCCCACAGCGAUGUCGUGGCCCUCAGGCAGCAGCACUCCCUCCUCAUGCACUCCAUGGGGCCCGUGGUCCUCAGGCUCUGAGGCCCUUCUCGGGUCUUCGCUGCAGUGCUGCAGCUUUAGAAUCACUCCACCUCCAUUCUCAGCGCUCCUCAUGAUGGGGCUCCGGGCUGUGGGGCUGCAGAUGGGAAGGGGGGGGAUAGGGGGUGAGCAGUAGGGCAGCAGUGCAGCCCCCCCCCUCCUAUAUGGACCCCCCCCUCCCCAGCUCCGAUCAGGGCUUUGGUGACUCAGUUCUGCCAUCAGACCAACGUCGUCCAGAGGAGAGUUUCAUCCGUUCAGAGCUGUCACCCAAAGGUGUCGCCCAGAGGUGUCACCCGGAGCUUACCUGGGACAGGCAGAGCUCAGCCUCCAGCAGAGGACGGCCAUAUGGGGGUGGAGUGGCACUCUGGGUGAGCGCAGCCAUCCCACACAUCUCCAAGAGGAACCAUUGUCGAGGAGAGAACCAGAGUCAUAACGCGUCGCGCGACCAACCGCCCCGCAGCCCAACCUCCCCCUCUCAC